rnacentral:rRNA from 1 species
GACAGAGGAUGCAAGCGUUUGUUCGGAAUUAUUGGGCGUAAAGGGCGCGUAGGCGGUGCCACAAGUCACCUGUGAAAUCUCCGGGCUUAACUCGGAGCCUGCAGGCGAAACUGUGGUGCUGGAGUGUGGGAGAGGUGAGUGGAAUUCCCGGUGUAGCGGUGAAAUGCGCAGAUAUCGGGAAGAACACCCGUGGCGAAGGCGGUUCUCUGGGACGGGUACUGACGCUGAGACGCGAAAGCGUGGGGAGCGAACAGG